AUGAACGCUGGCGGCGUGCCUAAUACAUGCAAGUCGCGCGAACGGACGAGAAGCUUGCUUUUCUGAUGUUAGCGGCGGACGGGUGAGUAACUCGUGGAUAACCUACCUAUAAGACUGGGAUAACUUCGGGAAACCGGAGCUAAUACCGGAUAAUAUUUUGAACCGCAUGGUUCAAAAGUGAAAGACGGUCUUGCUGUCACUUAUAGAUGGAUCCGCGCUGCAUUAGCUAGUUGGUAAGGUAACGGCUUACCAAGGCAACGAUGCAUAGCCGACCUGAGAGGGUGAUCGGCCACACUGGAACUGAGACACGGUCCAGACUCCUACGGGAGGCAGCAGUAGGGAAUCUUCCGCAAUGGGCGAAAGCCUGACGGAGCAACGCCGCGUGAGUGAUGAAGGUCUUCGGAUCGUAAAACUCUGUUAUUAGGGAAGAACAUAUGUGUAAGUAACUGUGCACAUCUUGACGGUACCUAAUCAGAAAGCCACGGCUAACUACGUG
rnacentral:rRNA from 1 species